ensembl:lncRNA
GAUGGAGUGCCUGUAUUCAAAUCAUCACUUUAUGGUAUUUGGCCAUUAUAUGGUAUUGUAAACGAGCUUCCUUACCCUGUGCGCAAAGAAAAUGUUCUGCUUUUUGGCCUGUGGUUUGGUGAUAAAAAACCAAAUGUUAAUGUAUUUUUAAAGCCAUUCACUUUAGAGUGUCAGAAGUUGUCAACUGUGGGCUUUAAGAUAAAAAGAAACAGCAUUUUGGAACAGUGUAGAGUUGUGGCAGCUCUUAUGAGGUGCGAUUCGGUAGCUAGGCCCAUACUUCAAAACAUGACCCAGUUUAAUGGUCAGUAUGGAUGCAGCCUCUGUUUACAUCCCGGUGAACAAUUUGAAAAGGGUCAUGGCACUGUCAGGGUAUACCCAUACAAACACGUUCCAAAGAGGGACCACGCUUCAACCGUAAUUGUUGCAAGAGAGUCUUUACAUACCAAAAAAUCUGUGAGGGGUGUUAAAGGGACCACAUGUCUGAUAAAGAUUCCACACUUUGACAUCAUAUCUGGCAUGCCUCCUGACCAUAUGCAUAAUGUACAUCUUGGUGUGGUUCGCCAAAUGGCAAGGAUGUGGCUGGACAGUGAUAAUCAUGAGAAGCCAUAUUACAUUGGCAAUAGAAUGAAUGAACUUGAUGAACAGCUCUUGCUAAUCAAGCCUCCUUGCAAUAUCACAAGAGUGCCCCGAUCUCUUCAGCAAAGGAGAUUUUGGAAGGCUAGUGAAUGGCAGAACUGGUUACUGUUUUAUAGUAUCUUUGUGCUAAAGGUAAUUCUGCCCCAGGUAUUUUACCAGCACUGGUUAGUCCUUGUCACAUUUAUGUACUUACAAUGUAAGGACACUAUUACAACAGAGGACGUAAAAAAAUGUGAGAAACUUGUUGUAGAUUUUGUCAAACAAUUUGAAACACUGUAUGGAAAGACCCAUGUGUCGUUUAAUGUACAUUUAUGUCUUCAUUUGCCAGAAUCUGUCAGGAAUUGGGGACCUUUGUGGGCUCAUUCUGUGUAUAUUUUUGACUCAUUUAAUGGUGAUAUACUGAAAAUGUUUCAUGGCACUCAGUGUGUCCCUUUACAGAUAAUGAAACAAUUCACAUACAGACAAAUAUUGCCUCUUUUGAGGAAUGAUGCUCUGAAAAAUGCUGUUCCUGAAUGCAUCCAGCUAUUUAGUAACUUAACUGGCCGAAAAAGACUGAAGCAGUUUGAAAGAGUCUGCGAUCAACUUGUUACCCUUGGUUUGCAUUAUUCUCGAAAACUUUCUAGUGAAGAGAUGUUGGUCAUGAGAGAGCAACUUGCAGUCACCGCGGAUACUGUCGUGAAAAUAUUCAGCCGACUUCUAGUCAAUGGAGAGCUGUAUUACUCUCAGGAGUUCACACGGGUAGUGAAAAGGAACAGCUUCACCCUGCUGUUGCUGAAUGGAUACAUAAUCACUGUAUACUACUACAUUGCAACGGAAAAUGUUUUGCUUCUGGAAGAAAGUAUGAUAGAUCACAUAAUACACUGGUUAAGGUUGAAAAUGUAGUUAGUCUGAAAAGGGAAUUCCGGGGCAGGAAACAGAUAUUUGAUGUGACACUGUUCAAAAGAAAAUGUAUGCUAAUUGAUCUGCCACAAUAUGCAAGCCUCUAUGCAUGUAUACCUCCAAGAUCCAGUGUGGAGGAUUGAACAUUAAAGGGCAAAAUACAUUUUUAUGACUGAAAAAAUCUGUGAAUAUGUUUAUAAUCUUUAUAAUUUACAGGUAAGGGUGAAUGUGGUCUCUGCAACUCUGUUCCAAUAAAAUUUAUGCUUGUGUAAUGCAGAUUUUUGUCUUCACUAUUUUCUUUAGGUUAUAUAGCUAUACCAUGCAUGUGCU